ensembl:lncRNA
UGUAGUAUAAAAAAAUGUGUGAUUGACUUAGUGUUUUUCUAUUGCUUUUUGUAUAACGUACUUUUGAGAUCACUGAUACUCCACCUGAUGUGGUGGAAGCUGUCGAACCAGAUCAGAACUCCUUCAAGGACCACCUUCAGGCACGGACUGAGAAGGAUGUGGAGGUUUUUGACCAGUCAAGGCGAGACUGAACAUGGACAAGGCAUAUGAGAAAAAGGAGAGCCACCGGAGGAGAAUCAAGGGGACCAAGUGCUUCGACAUCCGGGCAAAUGACUUGGCUUGGAAGAAGGACGAAAGGAAGGCGAGACCUGCGAAAGCUUGGUGCUCUUUCGCUCCUAGCUGGGCUCACCAUCCGUUAAGGGACAAUCCCUUAUCAACCCCACUGACAUCAAAAAUGAGACAGGUAUCCUUUCUUUUCU